GUGGGUGAUCCUCAGCAAGCUCGGUUGCCCAGCAAAAUUUGUCAAACUGAUCCAGCUCUUUCAUGUCGACAUGACAGGGGAAGUCCUAUCUGGUGGAGAGACUUCCGAUCGCUUCAACAUCUCCAAUGGCGUGAAACAAGGCUGUGUCCUCGCUCCGGUACUAUUCAACCUAUCUUUCACCCAAGUAUUACGACAUGCUGUGAUGGAUCUAGACCUGGGCGUCUACAUCAAAUACCGACUGGAUGGCUCACUAUUUGACCUUCGCCGCCUGACUGCAAAAACAAAGACAACAGAGAGACUCAUCCUGGAAGCUCUCUUCACAGAUGACUGUGCUCUCAUGGCCCACCAAGAAAAUCAUCUCCAAACCAUUGUGGACAGGUUCUCCGCCGCAACAAAACUGUUUGGCCUGACUAUCAGCCUCAGCAAAACAGAGGUGCUGUUCCAACCUGCACCAGGGAGGCCAACGAACCAGCCGUGCAUUACAAUCGAAGGCACGCAGCUUUCUAACAUCAACACUUUCAAGUACCUGGGCAGCACCAUCGCCAACGACGGGUCCCUAGACCACGAGAUUAAUGCCAGGAUCCAAAAGGCCAGCCAGGCACUUGGGCGGCUGUGCUGCAAAGUCCUCCAACACAGAGGUGUAAGCACUGCGACGAAGCUCAAAGUGUAUAACGCAGUGGUCCUCAGCUCGCUCCUGUACGGUUGUGAGACAUGGACACUAUACCAGAAGCACAUGAAACAGCUGGAGCAAUUCCACCAACUCUCUCUCCAGUCAAUCAUGAGGAUCCGAUGGCAGGACCGAAUCACCAAUCAGGAAGUCCUCGACAGAGCCAACUCCACCAGCAUCGAAGUCCUGGUCCUCAAAACCCAGCUACGAUGGUCUGGACACGUCAUCCAAAUGGACCCACAGCGAAUACCAAGACAGGUAUUCUAUGGUGAACUGUCAGCUGGACUCAGGAAACAAGGCCGACCAAAGAAAAGAUUCAAGGAUCAGCUAAAGUCCAACCUGAAGUGGGCUGGCAUUACACCAAAGCAACUAGAACUCACUGCCUCUGACAGAAGCAGCUGGCGAACCCACAUUCACCAGGCCGCCACCACCUUUGAAGAUGAGCGACAUCGACGUCUUGCCGCUGCGCGUGAACGCCGACACCAGGCCACAACCGCACCUCCCGUAACAACUGGCGUCCCAUGCCCCAUGUGCCCCAAACUCUGUGCCUCAGCCUUUGGACUCCAAAGCCACAUGAGGGUACACCGUAGAUGAAACUGCC
ensembl:lncRNA